AUUGAACGCUGGCGGCAUGCUUUACACAUGCAAGUCGAACGCGUGGCGAACGGGUGAUUACUAUCUCGGAACGUACCGAGUAAUGGGGGAUACCCAAUCGAACGAUUGGCUAAUACCGCAUAUUAUUCUAGCGGCCGAUAACUGAUUAGCUAGUGGGUGGGGUAAAGGCCUACGAAGGCGACGAUCAGUAGCGGGUCUGAGAGCGCGAUCCGCCAAACUGGGACUGAGACACGGCCCAGACUCCGACGGGAGGCAGCAGUGGGGAAUUUUGGACAAUGGGGGCAACCCUGGUCCAGCCAUGCCGCGUGUAUGAAGAAGGCCUUCGGGUUGUAAAGUACUGUUGUUAGGGAAGCGGUACCUAAAGAAUAAGCACCGGCUAACUACGUGCCAGCAGCCGCGGUAAUAC
rnacentral:rRNA from 1 species